UUCAAGCCAGUUUGAAGACAUCAUCUGCUGCAGAGAGUUUUUGUCACUCUAAUCCACAACCUGAUUGUCCUGGAGGUUUGAAGCCAUCCAAGUCUAGGACAGGGGAACGAUCCAAAAAAGGCAGUGCAUGUAGUGUUUGUGCCUCCUGCUCAAAGCAUGUCCACCUGGUGCAGAGACAUCUUGCAGAGGGAAACUCUACCACCACAGCUGCCUUCAGGUAACAGAACGCUCCCAAGAUGCAGUGUGUGCAGCAGCACUCUCUUACCAGGGUCUUACAAAGAGGGGACUGACGCUGGUUCUUUGGUCUGCAUCCAGCACUUGACAGCCAGUCAAAAUGUUUUCCCUGACUACGGUAAACAAACUGAAUCCACGGGAAACCACAAUGUCUCUCACGUUACUGGGAAAAUGGACUCAGGUGAGACAGUUGUUUGUGGAAGGAGACAGACAGACACAGAAGGAGAUGAGAGAAAGACAAGCCACAACACACUCAAGAAGCCCAGGCCACCUGAUCCUCCACAGCCCACUGCAGAAGAGAGUCCAGAUCCUGGUGGGCUCACGCUAACACCAGGAAGAGACUUGGCCUCUGGAAGCCCUGUGUGGCCAGUAGCUGCCCCCAGACGAGUGUUUGACUCCACCCCUCCUCGUCCUGCACCCAGGACUUGUCCACCUAAAGCCGCGGAGAGUCCAUCUGUUUUGGGUAAUCAAGUUGAUUGUAAAACCAAACCUAGUACUUUUCAAGGUGGGCCCUGUAAAACCAAAACCCCACCUUGGCUGGAACUUGUCCAGCCAGGGCCUUGGCCGAAGCUACCCCCUGCCCCACCUCCUAGAAUGCCAAAGCCCCCACGUUCAGGUUCUGUCCCCUCCCUCAGAGGGAGCUGGUACAGGUCAAAAGCACCCCCUCCGAAUCCCUUUGGGGAGUUGGAGGAUAAAGAUGAGGUCACUGCUGAUGACGACACUUCAUGC
ensembl:lncRNA